AUACGGAGGAUCCAAGCGUUAUCCGGAUGUAUUGGGUUUAAAGGGUGCGCAGGCGGUAUUAUAAGUCAGUGGCGAAAUCUGGAGGCUCAACCUCCAAACUGCCAUUGAUACUGUAGUACUAGAGUACAGACGAAGUAGGCGGAAUGUAGCAUGUAGCGGUGAAAUGCUUAGAUAUGCUACAGAACACCGAUCGCGAAGGCAGCUUACUAGACUGUUACAGACGCUAAUGCACGAAAGCGUGGGGAGCGAACAGGAUUAGAAACCCCGGUAGUCC
rnacentral:rRNA from 1 species